UACGGGGGGGGCAAGCGUUGUUCGGAAUUACUGGGCGUAAAGGGCGCGUAGGCGGCUUUUCAAGUCGGGCGUGAAAUCUCCGGGCUUAACCCGGAAGGGUCGUUCGAUACUGUUGAGCUAGAGUGUGGAAGAGGCAACUAGAAUUCCGUGUGUAGCGGUGAAAUGCGUAGAUAUCAAGAGGAACACCUGAGGUGAAGACGGGUUGCUGGGCUGACACUGACGCUGAGGCGCGAAAGCCAGGGGAGCAAACGGG
rnacentral:rRNA from 1 species